ensembl:snRNA U2 U2 spliceosomal RNA
AUCGCUUCUCAGCAUUUUGGCUAAGAUCAAGUGUAGUAUCUGUUCUUAUUAGUUUAAAAAUAUGAAAUUAUAAAAACUUUUAAAAGACAACAGUAC